rnacentral:rRNA from 1 species
CAGCCGCCACGGUAAUACGAAGGGUGCAAGCGUUAAUCGGAAUUACUGGGCGUAAAGCGUGCGUAGGCGGUGAGUUAAGUCUGCUGUGAAAUCCCCGGGCUCAACCUGGGAAUGGCAGUGGAUACUGGCUCGCUAGAGUGUGUCAGAGGAUGGUGGAAUUCCCGGUGUAGCGGUGAAAUGCGUAAAGAUCGGGAGGAACAUCAGUGGCGAAGGCGGCCAUCUGGGACAACACUGACGCUGAGGCACGAAAGCGUGGGGAGCAAACAGGAUUAGAUACCCGCGUAGUCCCUGUCUCUUAUAC